ACGCUCGACACCUACGGGGGCAGCAGUGGGGAAUAUUGCACAAUGGGGGAAACCCUGAUGCAGCGACGCCGCGUGAGCGAAGAAGUAUUUCGGUAUGUAAGGCUCUAUCAGCAGGGAAGAAACUGACGGUACCUGACUAAGAAGCACCGGCUAAAUACGUGCCAGCAGCCGCAGUAAUCUGAGCGGGCUGGCAAGGC
rnacentral:rRNA from 1 species